AGCAGCAUGGCGCAGUGGUAGCGCGCGGGGCCCAUAUUAUGUUAUUCUGGUUUUGCGGGAACCCCGAGGUCACUUGAUCGAAACAAGUUGCUGCUA